CCCUUAGAUGUCCUGGGCCGCACGCGCGUUACACUGAUGCAUUCAACGAGCUUAUAACCUUGGCCGAGAGGCCUGGGCAAUCUUGUUAACGUGCAUCGUGAUAGGGAUAGAUUAUUGAAAUUAUUAAUCUUGAACGAGGAAUUCCUAGUAAACGCAGAUCAUCUAUCUGCAUUGAUUACGUCCCUGCCCUUUGUACACACCGCCCGUCGCACCUACCGAUUGGAUGGUCCGGUGAAGCCUCGGGAUUGUGGUUCUUGCCGCUUUAUUGUGGCGUGACCGCGAGAACUUGUCUAAACCUUAUCAUCUAGAGGAAGGUGAAGUCGUAACA
rnacentral:rRNA from 1 species